rnacentral:rRNA from 1 species
UACGUAGGGUGCGAGCGUUAAUCGGAAUUACUGGGCGUAAAGCGUGCGCAGGCGGUUUUGUAAGCCAGAUGUGAAAGCCCCGGGCUUAACCUGGGAAUGGCAUUUGGGACUGCAUGGCUUGAGACCGGGAGAGGUGAGUGGAAUUCCCAGUGUAGCGGUGAAAUGCGCAGAUAUCAGGAGGAACACCGGUGGCGAAGGCGACUCACUGGCCCGAUACUGACGCUGAGGCGCGAAAGCGUGGGGAGCAAACAGG